UUUUCCUUUAAAUUUGUUGCAGGUUUUUUGAAAGGUUAGUCUGUUUAAUUUGAAUGAAAUUUCUCUCAUAGUCAGUUUGUGCUGCCAAAGAAACAAAUGAUUUGGAGGUACAGAAUGGGGCCUGGUAAAUGGUGAAGAACAAAGUAAUAUUGUGAUAGGUUGUUGCAGACUUAAAAGGCACCUGAGGACAGCAUGAAGCAUAUAAUGAAGUCAUAUAACUGUUAGGGAAGCUCACACGAAAGAGCAAGGCAUCUGGGAACUCAGCAGAGUUUUGCUUUGACAAAUGACCUCAUUUACCACCUUGACAAACACUGACUGUACUGACCAAUGUUGCAUACAGCUCUGAUUUAAGCCAUCACUACACAGAAAUUGCCAGUUGCCGCCCGUUUCCUAUGGCUCU